UGAAAGCUAGUUAACAUCCAUAAAUGUACUUGAUGGCAUAUUUAAAGUUCAUCGAGAGAUCCACCUAUGGGAGUAAAGCCGAACCUCAGGUUAGCAAUACUGGUGCAUCUUCCAGUCAGUACCUGAGCCUCCAUCCUGUUGGAUAUCCUGAGGUGGGUUUCUUCUCCCUUCCUCUUCUGUAUGAUGACUUUUCAGGCACGAGCACCCGAAAACAAGUAGGCCUCUCAUAUGUCAGGCUCUGCUUGGCUAUCAUGGGAUAGCUCAGGGUCUCUCUUUCUCAUUUAUAUGCUGACAAGUACUAUCUGGAUAUCUGUAACAGUUGUUGGUUGUAACUGAUCAGUAUUUUCUGACAUUUUUUUUUCCCCAGAAGUCCCAUAUUAAAGCAAUAACCAAAUGAUCUCUACCUAAGCGAGCCUCUGUUGCCACUAGCAGUUCUGCUAGUGCUACAAUCAAUACAGACUUGAAGAAGCUUUUUGAUAACUAUUCAUGAUAUGUGAAGUUUUUGUUUAAAGAAAGAAAGAAAAAAAAGCAAUUUAAUGAGAGUGGUGAAGGUACAGAAUGGCCAGAAACAAAUGUCAGCGCGCUGAGAAAGAGGUCAGGACUUUUAUAAGACACCUGGUUAAUUCUUUUCUUACAAAGGCUUUAAAUCAGUUUAGCACCGUUUUGGUUCAUUCAGAGAUUAACAAAAUUUAAUAUUUUAUAAGAUUUAUUUAUAAUACCCUUGAGGUUUAGAGUAUGUUUAUGUAACCUUUCUGCCAGGAAUUGGCAGCAGCUGAAAGAGCUGGAUUCAUUUAUCUAGGGGUUCUCUCUGAAAACUUAAACAACAGCAGUUUCAGCCUCCACCCAGAAAUCUGCCAAAGCUAAAUGGCCUCCUUUGGGUGCCCUGACAAACAUAAUUCCUGCUCAAGGCAGAGCAGGGAUUCAAAACAAGGUCCAGAGUUUCGAGACAAAGAGAACUUUAGAGACGAGGGAAAGAACAGAGGAAGAGGGAAGAAUAAAGACUCAGCAUAAACCCGCAAGAGCCACUAAUCAAUAAAAUAAAUAAGGCUGGGGUGAGAUUCCCAGGCUUCCUUUCCUCCUCUCCCCUGUGUUGUCUUGCCAUGACACAAAAUAAAGGCUUGCUCUCAUUUC
ensembl:lncRNA